UUCCGGGCUCUGGGGGUGUCUGGUAAAGAGAUCCGGGUUCUGGCGUCUUUUUCCGGACUUAAUUCGGCCGUUGUGGGCCUCUGGAGGUGUUUGGGUCCGAGUUCCGGGCUCUGGGGGUGUCUGGUAGAGAGAUCCGGGUUCUGGCGUCUUUUUCCGGACUUAAUUCGGCCGUUGUGGGCCUCUGGAGGUGUUUGGGUCCGAGUUCCGGGCUCUGGGGGUGUCUGGUAGAGAGAUCCGGGUUCUGGCGUCUUUUUCCGGGUCCAAUUCGGCCUUUGUGGGC
ensembl:lncRNA